UACGAAGGGGGGCUAGCGUUGUUCGGAAUCACUGGGCGUAAAGCGCACGUAGGCGGAUCUUUAAGUCAGGGGUGAAAUCCCGAGGCUCAACCUCGGAACUGCCUUUGAUACUGGGGAUCUCGAGUCCGGGAGAGGUGAGUGGAACUGCGAGUGUAGAGGUGGAAUGCGCAGAUAUCAGGAAGAACACCGAUAGCGAAGGCAGCUCGCUGGGACGGUACUGACGCUGAGACGCGAAAGCGUGGGGAGCGAACAGG
rnacentral:rRNA from 1 species